GUAUCUGAGGGCAAUCCGGCUGCAGCAUCUGUUACUGUAGUGAUCCAAAGGGUUGAUUCAGAGAAUCUGGUUGGCCAGGUGGGUGACUCCUUCUUACCUCAUAGACCUGUGCAUUCCUCUUAAAGCUGCACACUCAGUAGAAAAGAAAGACCUUCCUGAUACAGGAGGAAUUUUCGUAAAGGACUAAGAGUAGCUGCUUUCCCUACAAGAACCUACAAAGAAGUUUACCUCCUGUAAUUUUAUCAUCCUUUUCAUGAAUUUUAGGAGACAAUCUCGUUAACAAACAAUCUAUAUUAUUAUUAUUUUAUGAUUAUAAUA
ensembl:misc_RNA 7SK 7SK RNA